CUUGCAUGAGAAUAAGGAGGAAACUGGAGCUUCACCCAGCCAAGAGCUGGAUGAAGCCUCGUCUCCAUGACAGCGAAGGACACGCAGCCCUUCAGUAUUGUGGAUGAUUCAGGGCAUUUGUGUCCAAACUGGAUCCUCAUCAUGUUCUCCCUACAAGGCAGGCUCUGCAGGCCGUGGUGGAGGCUGAGUAGGAGUCAGCUAAGGAGAAGGCUAAAGUGGAAAAGGUGGCUGCUGUUAGCCUUACUUCUGACAUGUGGACAUCCAUCAGUAUGGAUGCCUACCUGGCUGUAAGGUGCCACUUUGUGGGGGAGAAAACCACACUGGGUUCAGUGCUUCCCCCGAUCACACACUGCUGAACAUAUAGCUCGUGUGAAAGCCUCCCUGAUGGAGGAAUGGGGAAUCGAUCAUAAGGUGACGUGUGUGGUCACUGAUGGUGCUCCCAAUGUGGUUUCCUGUGUGAGAGCUGAAGCUUCGCCACCAUAUUUUAUGUUGCACACUGAAUCUGACAGUGAAGAAGGGACCUGAGCAGCAGCCGGUGCUCUCUGGCAUCCGGGCCAACGCACGGAAGCUGGUUGGCUUCUUUAGGAGCAGCACCACUGCUAAGGAGAAGCUGACACAACUUCAUCUGGGGACGGCAAACAUGAAGCUAAUGCAAGAAGUGGAGGCCAGAUGGAGCAGCACAUGUUGGAUGCUGCAGCGUUUGGUGGAGCAAAGGGAGCCAGUAGGAGCAACAUGACAUCACCUUCCUACAGCAGAAGGGUUCCACAUUGUUGGAGGGUGCCUUUCUUUGCUGUCUCCCUUCUAUGAUCCACUGUAGAGCUGUCGGCAGAGGACAAUGUGUCUGUCUCCAAAGUCGUCCCCCCCGUGAAGAUGCUGGA